UCGGUCCUCUCACUCGUUUGAUCACACCUUCAUUCACUCACUCAUCACUGGCUGAGACGCCCUGUGCCUUGCUUCACAGGCUCAUGCUUGGUGGCUGGACAGAUAUGGAAAACACACAGGCACGCGACGAGGUAUACAGCCGAAGCUUCUUUUGGAGUCACAACUCAUAAUUGGAAGAGAGGUAGGAUAAGGAUUUUAGUUGAAGCCGAAUAAGCUGAGACUUCCAUUCGACAUCAAGAAGGCAACAGUUUCCGGGAGUGGAACACUGUGCUACAUUAACUGUUGAGAGCACUGAAGUUUGGAUGCACUGUCGGAGCCGUGGAUGGGGCGCUUUCGGGCGUUCAUGGUUAAAAAGGAAAACAGUGACGAUGGCGAUGAUGAUGAAGAACCGCAAGUUAGGGUUCAUCAUGAUCAAGAUCGAAAGAAUUAACUAAAAAACAAGCGGGACGCAAACGUGCAUUAAAACCCACACUGGUGAUUUCGUUUCAGCGAAACAUGUCACAU